UACGGGGGGGGCAAGCGUUGUUCGGAAUUACUGGGCGUAAAGGGCGCGUAGGCGGCCUACUAAGUCGGACGUGAAAUCCCUCGACUCAACCGGGGAACUGCGUCCGAUACUGGUGGGCUUGAAUCCGGGAGAGGGAAGCGGAAUUCCGGGUGUAGCGGUGAAAUGCGUAGAUAUCCGGAGGAACACCGGUGGCGAAGGCGGCUUCCUGGACCGACACUGACGCUGAGGCGCGAAAGCUAGGGGAGCAAACGGG
rnacentral:rRNA from 1 species